UACGUAGGGCGCAAGCGUUGUCCGGAAUUAUUGGGCGUAAAGAGCUCGUAGGCGGUCUGUCGCGUCCGUUGUGAAACUCGAGGCUCAACCUCGGGCUUGCAGUGGAUACGGGCAGACUAGAGUGCGGUAGGGGAGACUGGAAUUCCUGGUGGUAGCGGUGGAAUGCGCAGAUAUCAAGGAGGAACACCUAUGGCGAAGGCAGCUCGCUGGGACGUUACUGACGCUGAGACGCGAAAGCGUGGGGAGCAAACAGG
rnacentral:rRNA from 1 species